UACGUGAAACCGUUCAGGGGUAAACGGGAGAAAUCCUGAAUUCGAAAGGGGUUCGGAUUCAAUCACCUCCCGGGCCUGCUCAGGCCGAACCGCGCCAGACGGCGUCGGGCGCCCGCGGCGAUUAACCUCGCCCCGCGGAUCCGUCCCGGCUCGGCUCGGCGUCCGGUCGGCUCUGACGCCGGAGGUGUGCACUUCCCCCCCGGUAGAAACGUCGCGACCCGUUGGGUGCCGGUCUCAAGGCCCUGGAGUGGCAGCCCGUCGGGGUCUGCUGCCCGACCUCGGUCGGGGAGCGCCUGGCGGACCUCCGGUGACCUGGCCGGCCGCCCGACGGUACGACCAGAGGAGGCGAUCCGCUCUAGUAAAGGUGAGCGUCCGGCCCGGCGCGGGCGCGAGAGGGGUAAAAUCGGGGUCAAGCCGUGCCGAGCACGGUCCCGGCCACUCUUCGCGCCCGGUCCGCCCGGUGUCCUCGGACAGGAUCGACGCUCCCGUCGGCGACGCCCAUCUUCGGAUGG
rnacentral:rRNA from 1 species